rnacentral:lncRNA from 1 species
CCUAGAUGGUUCUCAGGAUUUCCAGCCAUUUGAUUAUCCCAUUCAACAUAGAUCAGUCGUUCAAUUUCAGGAUUAGGUUCAACUAGGUCAGGGUAUAGAGAUCUCCUACUGUGCAUGUAUCAGUGCAAACCCUAAUGUGCGGUUCAGAUUUUUUUUUUAAGAAAAUAAGAAAGAGAAAAAAAAAUAAAGAAAUAAAGAAGUUCCAAAGGUAAGAACCUUAAGAAAGUCCUACACCUGAGGACAAAAGAUAAGAAGAAUUAGUUAUGGUUGGGUGUUAAUUGUAAUCAAGUUAGCAAGCAAUUAAAUCUAGACACCUAUGGGUUUAUUAGACCUAACAG